CACGAGGAGCCUUGAUUUUCUGUCCUUGCCUGAAGUUCCAGUUGCCUUCACUGUCCACUUUGCUACUUUCUCAAAGAUGCAGAAACAACCUCCCCAUCUUUUGGAAAUGAGUCUGUCUUAGAGUUCCAACAUUAUCCAGGAGAUAUCCUAUAUGAAGUAAUUGUCGAAAUGGAAUGCCCGGUAGAGACCCCUUACAAUACCUCUGAAGUGGAGAAAGUCUUGGCAGACUCACUUAAGCAAGAGAUUGGGGAAAAUCUAGACCACUUUUCACCUGAAGCAGAUGAAUUCAAACUAACUAGAAUUAAAAGAAAAGAUACCUUAAAUGUCAUGUUCAUUUUCUGGCUGCAUCUGAGAUCUAGAGGGCGAAAUAUGUCAGCCACUCUGAUGUCCCAAUUAGGAGCAUCUGAGAGCAGUGCACUGCAUCUUCAAUUAAGAACUCUCAUCAGAGACACAGUAGAAGCUCUCCAACUUCAUCUGAAAUUUAUCUCCAUUCACGAUGUGAAUGAAUGUGAAAUGGGCCUAGAACAAUGUGGUGAAGGGGCUGAAUGCUUCAAUGGAGCUGGUACUUACAUAUGUCGUUGCAAAGAAGACUAUGAAGAUCGUUCCCCCCGUGCAGAUUGGUACUCUGUGUGUCCAUGUCCCACGCUCAGGAGUUGGAUUUUCUUUCAAUUAUCUGGAUCUUCUCAUCACUGUUACUGUCUUUACCACCGUCCUCCUCGUGCUGAUAAUAGGUUUUGUGUGGCUGGCAACCAGAACAACCUAAGAAAAGAGGGAUUUUUGCCUUCAGGAGACAAUGUCCCUGGAGGGUUUGUCUACAUUACCACUGAUCCAAACCAAACCUCACCUCGAGGAAGUUCAACAAAUGCUCCCUCUAUAAUCCCUAUCAGCCUAAGUCCCCAGCCAGAAUCAUAGAUGGCUCCCUGUAACAAAUAUCUUACAAAGACUACCAUGUGUGUAUGGAACAGUCUGAAUAUCUCAAAUAAUGAUUUAAGGAAUAUUUAUCUGUUGUCGCUCUGAUCUCCUGUUGAGUCAGAUGCAGGAGAAGGUGAUUUUUCUGUCAAUUUUUCUCUGGGACAACAAAAAGACACUGCACAUUUUAGGGUGGAUGGGGGUGGGUGUAUCCUUCCAGUAACUUAAAAGGAGAGAAUUUCUGAUUGUAAUCCAUUUGUCUUUCUUGUUCCUUCCUACCUGAAUUAUACUUCUUGGCUCUAGAUUCUAGCCUCUAUAGGUGGAGGAAUUUACAUUUGUAUCUUAGCAUCAAGACUUUUACACUAAUUCCUGUAAUGAGCAGAAGCACAAAGCUAAUGACCUGGACAUUUUUGUGCCAUCUGACUGAAGUCUGCAGGAAGCACCCAGGGAUCCAGGAAAUGGAGGGGACACAUACCUAUUUCCAAAGCUGAUGAAUGAGUCCUGUGACUUUUAAGGAUACCCAAGUUAAAGUGCUGUUAAUUUAGCACAGUUUGGAAACUCCCAUUUGACCAUAGUGUAUUUUUAUAUGAAGAAUUAAAUCCUAACCCACCCUCCCCCCGGCCCUGGGUCUGGGGAACUAGAAGACUUGGUAUUCAAAAAUAAUUCUCUCCUUGUACCUACCAUCUUUUUUGUGAAGUUACAAAUAUGUGUAUUAUAUUUGUAGAAAUUGUUUUAAAUUCCCUCUCAAGAGCACAUAGCUAAGCACUGUACUGUUAAUUGUUUUUGUUUGUUUUUUAUCAAUACUAUGGCUACCCGUUCAGAGAAGUUGCUUUGUCUGAUAUGGUGGUUUACUUGUAAGCUGAUC
rnacentral:lncRNA from 1 species